GACGAACGCUGGCGGCGUGCUUAACACAUGCAAGUCGAACGAUGAAGCCGGAGCUUGCUCUGGUGGAUUAGUGGCGAACGGGUGAGUAACACGUGAGUAACCUGCCCUUGACUCUGGGAUAAGCGUUGGAAACGACGUCUAAUACCGGAUACGAGCUAGGACCGCAUGGUCACUAGCUGGAAAGAACUUCGGUCAAGGAUGGACUCGCGGCCUAUCAGUUAGUUGGUGAGGUAACGGCUCACCAAGACGACGACGGGUAGCCGGCCUGAGAGGGUGACCGGCCACACUGGGACUGAGACACGGCCCAGACUCCUACGGGAGGCAGCAGUGGGGAAUAUUGCACAAUGGGCGCAAGCCUGAUGCAGCAACGCCGCGUGAGGGACGACGGCCUUCGGGUUGUAAACCUCUUUUAGCAGGGAAGAAGCGCAAGUGACGGUACCUGCAGAAAAAGCACCGGCUAACUACGUGCCAGCCGCCGCUGUAA
rnacentral:rRNA from 1 species